GCUAUACACUCUAAAAAACGCUGGGUUGUUUUUUCAACCCAAAUGCUGGGUUGAGGCCGCUGGAUAGGAUUUUGGGAUGUUUUAACCCAAGUUUGGGUUGAAAAUUGUUCUCCGUUUUAACCCAGCGGGGCUGGGUUGAGAACGCGGACGUGAAGGAGAGCACGCACGUCACGUCAAGAUCGUACGUCUCCAGUGCGAGCAGCCGCCAUUUUCUCAGCGUGAAAGAAGCGAGAAGCAAGUGAAAGACUAUGACUUGUUGAGCUCGUGUCUUCAUUGUCCUCGCGCCGAGAGUUAAAGACACAGAAGCUGUUUGUGUGAGGAGUCUUAGACUGUGAGGAGGAGGAUGUUCUUCUGAAGAGAGGGACAGAAGGGUUUAAGGAGAGUAAACUUCAGAAUAACAACGUUAUAUUUAUUUUUACUAAGACUAAAAUAAUGUUUGUUUUUGUUGAAAUCCAGAGACAAGAUAACUUCAUUCUUUUGAGACUGAUAACUCAAACUAACUGGAGUUAAGGACACAGAAGUCUGCUUGUGUGAGGAGGAGGUUUUCUCAGCUUCUUCUGAAGAGAGGGAAAGAUAGUUUAAGGCAAGUAAACUUCAUAAUUUCAUGUUAUCAGCUGUUGUUGUUUUUUACUAAUAGUAAAAUAAUGUUUGUUUUUUGUAGAUGUUAAAAGCCAGAGACAUGGGAGAGCAUCAUUCUUUUGGGAUUUUAUAACUCAAACCAACUUUGGAGUUGUCUUGUCUGAUUUGGAGAGUCUUCAUUCUUGGUCUUCCCUCUUAAAGACCACUGAUGAAGAACAGGCGGUGACUGGAUGAAUGCAGGUCAAAGAAGAGAACGUCCUUUCCCCUAAACUGAUGCAGCAGUGGUUUCAAAGGAGGACGCUGCCCUGGAUGAUGUAGAAGAUGUCACAUGUGCUGAUGGGGCUUCUUAAUGACUGCAUCAAUUAUGCUAAAGAGAUCAUGAAAAUUGACCGUGAUGCUUGAUCUGUAUUCAUGGACUAUGAAACAAACUGUAAGUGUAUAAUUUGUAAAAACAA